UACGGGGGGAGCAAGCGUUGUUCGGAUUUACUGGGCGUAAAGAGCGUGUAGGCGGCCAGGUAGGUCGGUUGUGAAAACUGGAGGCUCAACCUUCAGAGGUCGACCGAAACCAUCUGGCUAGAGUCCGGGAGAGGAGAGUGGAAUUCCUGGUGUAGCGGUGAAAUGCGCAGAUAUCAGGAAGAACACCCGUGGCGAAAGCGGCUCUCUGGAACGGUACUGACGCUGAGACGCGAAAGCGUGGGGAUCAAACAGG
rnacentral:rRNA from 1 species